ensembl:lncRNA
GGCGAGGAGAGCGUGCGAGCAAAGCAAACCAAUGGCCGCGGUUCCAGCGGCGGCAGCGCCGUCCAGCACCGGAGAAAAAUAUUUCUCCUGUUAAAAAAAAAAAAAAAAAGAGAGAGAGAGAGAGAGGAAAAGAAAAGCGCUCUCAGUGCGGCCUCGGAGCGCUGCCGCCGUCCGGGACGUGCGCUGAGCUCUGCGCUGCGGACGCCGUGUAUCUCCACGUAUUGAUUCGUGCACCCACAUCUGAGCCCUUCGGAAGAAUGUGACGUUGGAGGAACCUGGAGCUUUGCAAAGGCUUCGCUCAGAGACGUAACAAAUGUGACGGAAGGGGUGGAGACAGGAGGUGAGGAUGGCCAAAACCUCAGCCCUGGAGCCAAAAGUAACCGGGAAAUAGAAGGAAAAUAUACGGACGGAAACUUCACUGUGCAGGAGGGGGGGUCAGUGCCAGGCUGGGGCUGAGCCGGGGCUGCAGGGGUGGGGGCUGAGCUCCUGGGCCAGGUGGGGGUGGGGCAGGUGGGGGGGUGCUGGGCUGCCCACAGCCCCAAUCUGAUUUCAGCACUCAGCUGCCCCAGAUCAGCCUGGCACUGCUGCGAGGGCGGGGAGAUGCUGGUGGGAGAGAUCUUACAGCUCUCAGGGAACAACACUGGAUUUUAUAUGUGAUUUGUCCUGGAGGUUGGGUGGGAAUGUGCAUUUUGGGAUGGAAUGGAAUGGUAUGGGAUGGGAUGGAACCCAAUAGGAUGCAAUGGCCUGCAAUGCAAUAGGAUGCAAGGGGAUGGGAUGCAAUGAGAUGAGACAUGAUAGGAUGUGAUGGGAUGGGAUGUGAUGGGAUGGGUCCCAAAAGGAUGCAAUGGGAUGAGAUGCAAUGGGAUGCAAUUGGAUAUGAUGGGAUGAAAUAUGAUAGGAUGUGAUGGGAUGCAAUGGGAUGCAAUGCAAUGGCAGACAAUACAAUAGGAUGCAAUGGGGUGGGAUGCAAUGCAAUAAGAUGUGAUAGGAUGGGAUUCAUUGGGAUGGGAUUCAGUGCAAGGGGAUACAGUGAGAUGUGUUGGGUUGGGAUGAGAUGUAUGGGAUGGGUUGGAAUGGGUUGGUGUAGGAUGUGAUGUGAUGCAAUGCAAUGGGAUUUGAUGGGAUGCGGUGCGAGGGAAUGCACUGCGAGGGGAUAUGAUGCAGUGCUGCCAGGCUUGAUGUUGGCUUGGAGGCACUGUGGGCUGCAGCAGCCCCAUGACAGCACUGGAGGUGUCAGGGCAGAGCGAGAUGAGGGGGGUGGUCACCCCGAGGCAAAGGGCAGGCAGCUCCCACUGCUCCUUCCUGGUUGUUUUCCUGAUUGCAUGGCCAAAGUGGCUUUCUAGGUGAUGUCAGACCCUCAGCAGGCUCUGAGGGUGGUGGGUUUUAAUGUGCACAGACAGCAGUGGCUGUAAGUGGCACAGUGUUUGUUCUCCUGUCCCAGCCCUCUGUGCGCUGCUCGCUGCAUUGCUCCAUGCCUCAGUUUCCCCAGGCUGAGGUGCAGCA